UACGAAGGGGGCUAGCGUUGUUCGGAUUUACUGGGCGUAAAACGCACGUAGGCGGAUCGUUAAGUCAGGGGUGAAAUCCUGGAGCUCAACUCCAGAACUGCCUUUGAUACUGGCGAUCUUGAGUCCGGAAGAGGUGAGUGGAACUCCUAGUGUAGAGGUGGAAUUCGUAGAUAUUAGGAAGAACACCAGUGGCGAAGGCGGCUCACUGGUCCGGUACUGACGCUGAGGUGCGAAAGCGUGGGAGCAACAG
rnacentral:rRNA from 1 species